GCAAAUUACCCACUCCCGGCACGGGGAGGUAGUGACGAAAAAUAACGAUACGGGACUCAUCCGAGGCCCCGUAAUCGGAAUGAGCACACUUUAAACGCUUUAACGAGUAUCCAUUGGAGGGCAAGUCUGGUGCCAGCAGCCGCGGUAAUUCCAGCUCCAAUAGCGUAUAUUAAAGUUGUUGCGGUUAAAAAGCUCGUAGUUGGACUUGUGUCCCACGCUGUCGGUUCACCGUUCGUCGGUGUUUAACUGGCAUGCCCGUGUGGACGUCCUGCUGGUGGAUGCGGUCGGCCGUGGGCCUCUGGUCUGCGUGUCGGCGGUCCGGUGCAAUCCUACCGCGGUGCUCUUCACCGAGUGUCGAGGUGGGCCAGCACGUUUACUUUGAACAAAUUAGAGUGCUUAAAGCAGGCAGUGGAUCGCCUGAAUAUUGUGUGCAUGGAAUAAUAGAAUAGGACCUCGGUUCUAUUUUGUUGGUUUUCGGAACUUGAGGUAAUGAUUAAGAGGAACAGACGGGGGCAUUUGUAUUGCGACGUUAGAGGUGAAAUUCUUGGAUCGUCGCAAGACAAACCUAAGCGAAAGCAUUUGCCAAGGGUGUUUUCAUUAGUCAAGAACGAAAGUUAGAGGUUCGAAGGCGAUCAGAUACCGCCCUAGUUCUAACCAUAAACGAUGCCAGCCAGCGAUCCGCCGAAGUUCCUCCGAUGACUCGGCGGGCAGCUUCCGGGAAACCAAAGCUUUUGGGUUCCGGGGGAAGUAUGGUUGCAAAGCUGAAACUUAAAGGAAUUGACGGAAGGGCACCACCAGGAGUGGAGCCUGCGGCUUAAUUUGACUCAACACGGGAAACCUCACCAGGCCCGGACACCGGAAGGAUUGACAGAUUGAGAGCUCUUUCUUGAUUCGGUGGGUGGUGGUGCAUGGCCGUUCUUAGUUGGUGGAGCGAUUUGUCUGGUUAAUUCCGAU
rnacentral:rRNA from 1 species